rnacentral:rRNA from 1 species
GACGAACCGUACGACCGUUAUUCGGAAUCACUGGGCUUAAAGGGUGCGUAGGCGGCGCAGUAAGUUGGGUGUGAAAUCCCUCGGCUUAACCGAGGAAUUGCGCCCAAAACUACUGUGCUCGAGGGAGGUAGAGGUGAGCGGAACUUAGGGUGGAGCGGUGAAAUGCGUUGAUAUCCUAAGGAACACCGGUGGCGAAAGCGGCUCACUGGACCUCUUCUGACGCUGAGGCACGAAAGCUAGGGUAGCAAACGGG